CUACGGGGCGCUGCAGUGAGGAAUUUUGCGCAAUGGGGGAAACCCUGACGCAGCAACGCCGCGUGAGCGAAGAAGGCCCUCGGGUCGUAAAGCUCUGUCAAGUGGGAAAAAAAUUUUUUGAUCAAUAGUCAAAAGACUUGAUGGUACCACUGGAGGAAGCACCGGCUAACUCCGUGCCAGCAGCCGCGGUAAUACGGAGGGUUCAAGCGUUGUUCGGAUUUACUGGGCGUAAAGAGCGUGUAGGCGGUUUAGCAAGUCAGAUGUGAAAGCCCUGGGCUCAACCCGGGAAGUGCAUUUGAAACUGCUUCACUAGAGUAUGGGAGAGGAGAUUGGAAUUCCUGGUGUAGAGGUGAAAUUCGUACAUAUCAGGAGGAACACCCGUGGCGAAGGCGAUUCUCUGGACCAAUACUGACGCUGAGACGCGAAAGCGUGGGGAGCAAACAGGAUUAGAUACCCCCGUAGUC
rnacentral:rRNA from 1 species